AAAACUUUCAACAACGGAUCUCUUGGUUCUGGCAUCGAUGAAGAACGCAGCGAAAUGCGAUAAGUAAUGUGAAUUGCAGAAUUCAGUGAAUCAUCGAAUCUUUGAACGCACAUUGCGCCCCCUGGUAUUCCGGGGGNCAUGCCUGUUCGAGCGUC
rnacentral:rRNA from 1 species